UCCUCCCUCAAACCUCGGGUUUGGUGUUGGACCGGGUUGUUCGUCUGAACAACUGGUCUCAAAGACAAUGACGGCGUCCGUGGGACCCUCGGUGCAACGAGCUUCUUUGUGAGCACGCGUCGAGUUUCAAGGACCUUCCGGGCCGGUCUCCCUUAUUAUUCUUCUAA
rnacentral:misc_RNA from 1 species